GCAAGUCGAACGAGAAAGUCACUUCGGUGGCGAGUAGAGUGGCGCACGGGUGAGUAAAACGUAGGUAACCUGCCUCUUUGUGGGGGAUAACUCGGAGAAAUUCGGGCUAAUACCGCAUACGAAGUACAAUUUUGAAAGUAGUACUUGAAAGACUACCUAUAUACUAUGCUGUUGCUAAGAGAUGGGCCUGCGGGACAUUAGCUAGAUGGUGGGGUAACGGCCUACCAUGGCGACGAUGUCUAGCUGGUCUGAGAGGAUGAUC
rnacentral:rRNA from 1 species